UUUUAAUAUACAGUAUAUAUAUAUAUACAGUAUAUAUGGCACAUAUAUUUCCUGGCCGCCUCCAGGAACAUAUUUCCUGAAAAGGGCAAGAUGUGCCAAAACACAAAAAUAACAAUUUGUAAUUUGCAUUUACUGUGGGAGUGGGUUAAGGCUGGAAGCAAAAAAUGGUGUAAAGCAAUAUUGCAGUUUUCAACAUAAAAUAUAUAUUUGAAUAUACUACAUAUUUAUGCCACAUACAUGAGUCUAUGUGCCAAUUCAAAUUGUUGACAGUCCGUUAAGAUAAGGUUUAUUUUCAUUGCAGGAAAUAUUCAAAGCCUUUCUGGAAGUGGAACAUGACAGAUUUAAUCUCGCAGCAUGAAGCAGCUUGUGGAUGGUUUAUACUUGUGGACGCAAUGCCACCUACUGGAUAUAACACAUUAUCAAGAUAAUAGAGGUGAAGACUCCACUCUGAACACAGUGUGCACUCAGUGCACUGGUGUAUUUUUCUGUAAGAAUGAUGAAGUGCUGUGGUCAUACACACUAUAUGUUCAAUAUCACACUUUCAACACGUCUUUAUGAUCAUAUUUUUUGUUAAAUAUUUUUUAAUUCAAUCAUCCCAAAAAGACAGAAUUGUCUUUUCCAUUUUGAGCUUGAAGAAUCAACUGUGAGACCUGUUAUGCAGAAUUUCAGUCCAUGUUCUCACACAAAAGAAAGUUGCGCUUCUUCUGCUGCAGUUCUGGUUUUCAUGCAGAUUUUAUUUAAGAGUCAAUUUAAAUACUUGUUUUGUUCCUGUUUUGGUUGUGUAUUUUUUCAAUUAAUUAGUGUAGCACUGCAAGCGAAAUACAACAAAUCAAGGCGGAAGACAUCUUUUCUGGUUCAUUGAGAGAAAUGGGGCUGUCACAAUGUUUACAGAAAUUUCAUGACUGAUGUUUGAUCAUCCAAUCUGUGGCAAGUCUGCAUCUUAUUGUUGCGGUUGUAUGUAACUUUCUCUUUUAUUUCUGUCUACUUUAUGUGUGUACCCGAGUGCACAUUUGCAAUAGAGUUGGUGAUGGAUGGAUGGAUAAAUAAAACAAAAUAUUACUAAA